rnacentral:rRNA from 1 species
CCUACGGAGGGCAGCAGUGGGGAAUAUUGGACAAUGGGGGCAACCCUGAUCCAGCCAUGCCGCGUGUGUGAAGAAGGCCCUCGGGUUGUAAAGCACUUUCAGUGAGGAAGAACGCCUGGUGGUUAAUACCCAUCAGGAAAGACAUCACUCACAGAAGAAGCACCGGCUAACUCCGUGCCAGCAGCCGCGGUAAUACGGAGGGUGCGAGCGUUAAUCGGAAUUACUGGGCGUAAAGCGCGCGUAGGUGGCUUGAUAAGCCGGUUGUGAAAGCCCCGGGCUCAACCUGGGAACGGCAUCCGGAACUGUCAAGCUAGAGUGCAGGAGAGGAAGGUAGAAUUCCCGGUGUAGCGGUGAAAUGCGUAGAGAUCGGGAGGAAUACCAGUGGCGAAGGCGGCCUUCUGGACUGACACUGACACUGAGGUGCGAAAGCGUGGGUAGCAAACAGGAUUAGAUACCCGUGUAGUC